AUCAUCAAAGGACGAUAUACAAGUAAAUCUUAGGACACCAUUGGACACAACCCUUUGUUGGUUGUGGAUGAGAAAACCAUUUUUCUGAUGAUGAU